CAGCAGCCGCGGUAAUACGAACCGUGCGAACGUUAUUCGGAAUCACUGGGCUUAAAGCGCGUGUAGGCGGAUGGGAACGUCGGAUACUGAAAGCCCCCGGCUCAACCGGGGAAGUGGUUCCGAAACGACCUGUCUGGAGGGACGUAGGGGGAUCUGGAACUUCCGGUGGAGCGGUGAAAUGCGUUGAGAUCGGAAGGAACGCCCGUGGCGAAAGCGAGGUCCUGGACGUCUGCUGACGCUGAGACGCGAAAGCUAGGGGAGCAAACGGGAUUAGAUACCCCGGUAGUCCUAGCCGUAAACGAUGGGCACUGGGUAGGGGGCUCGCCGAUGGGCUCUCUGCCGUAGCGAAAGCGUGAAGUGCCCCGCCUGGGGAGUAUGGUCGCAAGGCUGAAACUCAAAGGAAUUGACGG
rnacentral:rRNA from 1 species